GUAUUACUCCCUUCGUCCGGAAAUACUUGUCGGAGAAAUGAAUGUAUCUAGAAGUAUUUUAGUUAUAGAUACAUCUAUUUUUAUUUAUUUUUCCAACAAGUAUUUUCAGACCGGGGGGGGGGGGGU
rnacentral:pre_miRNA from 1 species